CUCUAUCAAGCCGACUUUGUAAUACAGAAAUCUUAAUUUUUGUGUCUCGAGUAUUGACAGAAAUUAAUGGUGAUUACUUAAUGUAUAGAAUGUAUUAUUAACCAGCUAAUUAAUACAUGCCAUAAUUAAUACAUUAAUGCAUGUAUUUAUAAAAAACUCCUUUUAAUAAAAAUAUGCGUAUCGAUUUAUUGAUAUAAAAGGCAUUCAUGUAAAAUAGAUUUAUAUAAAAUACAUUUUUUAUCGGAUGCGUUUUACACGUAAUUGCACAGAAAUUUGCGUUAUUAAUAGGCUGGAGCACGCAUUUAAUUAGCUACAAUAACAUACAAUUAAUUUAUUAAUUAACACUAAUUAAUUACACCACUGUCCCUGCGUCCAGCUGUUCCUCCGCGUGUCCAUCCCCACGCCCCCAGCGCUUCCCCACCGCGCUUAAUGCGUUAAUUAAUUAAUUAAUUGAUUAAUGAAGGGCGCAUUACGGUAAUCGCGGCGGCGCCGCUGCUCCGGGUAUUACGGUACCGAAAGGUGCGCGAAUACUGCGGGUAUUACGGUACCGGGGAGUGCGCCAAUACUGCGGGUAUUACGGUAGCGGCAGUACCGUAAUUACGGGAAUAGACGGAGCCGUGCCCCCAGUACAAAAACUCCCGGUGCUCCCAGUAAAACCCAGUGCUCCCAGUACAAACCAGUGCUCCCAGUACAAACCAGUGCGCCCAGUACAAACCCAGUGCUCCCAGUACAAACCCGGUGCUCCCACUAAAACCCGGUGCUCCCAGUAAAAACCAGUGCGCCCAGUACAAACCAGUGUGCCCAGUACAAACCAGUGCUCCCAGUACAAACGCGGUGCUCCCAGUACAAACCAGUGCUCCCACUGCCCUCCCAGUAUCCCCAGUAUCCCCCAGUGUUCUCCCAGUAUCCCCCAGUGCCCUCCCAGUAUCCCCAGUAUCCCCCAGUGUCCUUCCAGUAUCCCCCAGUAUCCCCAGUGCCCUCCCAUUAUCCCCCAGUGCCCUCCCAGUAUCCCCAGUAUCCCCCAGUGUCCUUCCAGUAUCCCCCAGUAUCCCCAGUGCCCUCCCAUUAUCCCCCAGUGCCCUCCCAGUAUCCCCAGUAUCCCCCAGUGUCCUCCCAGUAUCCCCCAGUAUCCCCAGUGCCCUCCCAUUAUCCCCCAGUGCCCUCCCAGUAUCCCCAGUAUCCCCCAGUGUCCUCCCAGUAUCCCCCAGUAUCCCCAGUGCCCUCCCAUUAUCCCCCAGUGCCCUCCCAGUAUCCCCAGUAUCCUCCCAGUAUCCCCCCAGUAUCCCCAGUGCCCUCCUAGUAUCUCCCAGUGCCCUCCCAGUACCCCCAGUAUCCUCCCAGUAUCCCCCAGUAACCCCAAUGGGGUGUCUAUACUGGUUUGGGUUUCUAUACUGGUUUGGAGUGUUCAUACUGGUUUGGGGGUUUCCAUACUGGUGCAGGUGUCUCUAUACUGGUUUGGGGUCUCUGUACUGGUUUGAGUAUUCUCAUACUGGUCUGGGAGUUUCCAUACUGGUUUGGGGGUUUCCAUACUGGUUUGGGGUCUCUAUACUGGUUUAUACUGGUUUAUACUGGUUUGGGAUUUCUAUACUGGUUUGGGGGUUUCCAUACUGGUUUGGGGUCUCUGCACUGGUCUGGAGUGUUCAUACUGGUCUAAGAGUUUCUGUACUGGUCUAUACUGGUUUAAAGUUUCCAUACUGGUUUGUGGUGCCCAUACUGGUUUGGGGUUUCUAUAACAGCACCUAUACUGGUCUGAAAGUUUCCAUACUGGUUUGGGGUCUCUAUACUGGUUUGGGGUCUCUGUACUGGUUUGGGGUCCCCAUACCAGUUUGGGGGUUUCUCUGCUGAUUUGGGGUGCCCAUACUGGUUUGUGCAUUCUCAUACUGGUCUGUACUGGGAAUGGACACCUCAACCCCCAAAAACCCCAAAACCCCAAAAACCCAAAACCCCAAAACCCCAAAACCCCCCAGACACCCCCAGGCCGGGGCAGCAACGACUGUAAUGCAGCACGGGGGGGACAAAACCAGUCUGGGCUCCCAGUGCUCCCAGUUACCCCAGUCUGGGCUCCCAGUGCUCCCAGUUGCUCCAGUCUGGGCUCCCAGUGCUCCCAGUUGUCCCAGUGAUCCCAGUUUGGGCUCCCAGUUCAGCUCCUAGUCGGGCUCCCAGUGCUAUAGCAGUUCAGCUCCCAGUGCUCCCAGUGCUCCCAGUUCGGCUCCCAGUGCUAGCAGGUGUCCCAGUUCGGCUCCCAGUUCGGCUCUCAGUUGUCCCAGUGCUCCCAGUUUGGCUCCCAGUUCAGCUCCCAGUGCUCCCAGUGCUCCCAGUUCGGCUCUCAGUUGUCCCAGUGCUCCCAGUUCGGCUCCCAGUUUGGCUCCCAG
rnacentral:lncRNA from 12 species